UCGUGAUAGGCGUCACAUCAGCCACGUGGACCGAUAACUCUUGUAAGACUCUUCGUGAUUGGUUCGUGAAAGGCGUCACACCAGCCACGUGGACCGAUAACUAUUGUAAGACGCUUCGUGAUUGGUUCGUGAAAGGCGUCACACCAGCCACGUGGACCGAUAACUCUUGUAAGACGCUUCGUGAUUGGCUCGUGAUCGACGACACACUAAAUCGCGAGGCACGAAACAAAUUACACUAAAGUAGGCACAAAUGUGCGCAGUUAUGUUGCGUUAGUGAAGAGUUUGUGCGGGAAAUGUUGAUGACGGUUUGAAAGCUUGUCCUAUUUUAAUUAAUCUCUAGUUACGAGAACGAGAAAAUUAGACAAAUUAGUUGGAUUUUAUUGCUAUAUUUCUACGGAAUGUUUAAAAAAAGAGGAAAAAGUGAAGCUAUGAAGCCUUGGGAGGCAAUGUACAGAAACUAGCGUUAAGCCUAAGUCAAGUAAAUGUGUCGUCUAAGUAGGUUAAGUCGCAGCCAUUCGAACGAAUGAAACAUUUCUGCUUUUCAACCGAAAAUUAGUUAGGAUUACGUAGUCAGCUCCUAGAACGGAAAUACCGCGUAAGUGUAAGGUACCGCGUAAGUGUGAGGUACUGCGUAAAUGUUGGGUACAGCGUAAGUGUGGCGUACCGCGUAAGUGUGAGGUACCGCGUAAGUACGGUACAGCGUAAGUGUGAGGUACUGCGUAAGUGUGAGGUACAGCGUAAGUGUAGCGUACCGCGUAAGUGUGAGGUACCGCGUAAGUAUGGUGCAGCGUAAGUGUGAGGUAUCGCGUAAGUGUGAGGUACAGCGUAAGUGUGGGGUACCGCGUAAGUGCAUGUGGGUCACCAUAAAAGUAGUUUAUUAACGUGUGAUAGCGUACAAGUGUGGGUUACCGUAUAAAUGCUAGGUUCCUGGUGAAACGCGGAUAGCUUAAUUCAUUUCUCGUAACUAUAUUUCGUAGGCUAAAGACGCUCAAAUUUGUUCCUGCUUCCAUACAAAAUGUUCCAACUGAUCAAAUUUUAUUUGGGUUGCAUCCUAUGGGUAAUUAUCGGCGCAUCAUCGGCGGCCGGCAAUGCCUCGGUACCUAAAGUACACCAUUUUCCUUUGUGAAUGCCUGCUUGGGAUAUGUUCCUAUUUGGCCAACGAUUACGCGCCUGUAGCGAUUCACUAAAACAAGCGAGCAUAUCGACCACAAAAACGGCAGAAGUCAAUUGCCUCGUUAAUAACUGGCAUCGAUAUCACUUUUUUUUCGUUAAUGUAGAAAUGUUAUGAUUAGCGCCAAUAAUAUGCUCAUGGUUACCUAUUAGAACUGCGAAUGGUGUUAAAAAAAUUAAGAGUUCAAGAAUUACCCUAUAAUACCAUUAAUUAAGAGGAAUUAACGAAGCAGGAUUUAAGGACAAAUUCGUACACCUUAAGACCUUCAGCCCUUAAUACAAACUCUAAUUAGACCCUGACCCUCGUCUAGAUAGUGUGCAAUUGAUUUGCUAGCGUAGCUCCCGACCCUCUCGUGACCCUCUUAUCUCCCUGUUAAUUAGAUAACGAGCGUUAGCGCGCGCGAUAUCAUGUGAUACUAAGUAGGACUCUUGGCUCCUGCAAGUCUCAAGGUGCUACGUACUUCCAAAAAUAGCUUAAGUCUUUGGAUUUUGCGACAUAAAAAUGAAUUAGCAUACGGUGUUUCCGUGUGCUGUGCGCCUGCAGUGCUGCAUAGCAAAGCAGUGCAACUGCUGUGCCGUGCGUCCGCAGUGCAUUGUACCAGCAGUGAAGUGCGGUAUCGCACUAGCAGUGCCGUGUAGGGCAUCAGAAAUGCAGUAGUGUGGUAAUUUUUAAAGAUGUGCUUUGUGGGUUCCAAAAUGAACAAAUCGUCUCUUUUUAAUUGGAAUUUUAAGGUCAAAUCCCUCAAAUUUCAAAGCAGCCCCAGCGUCUGUUUAGAACCGCCCUAGAGUCUGUUUAGAUCCGCCCUAGAGGCUGUUUGGAGCCGCCCCAGCGCCUGACUAUCGGAAUCAGAAGCUGAGGCGGCCCCAAAUUUUAUUCGCUCGUCAUUGCACCUUCGAAGCCGCGGAGGAACAGCGUUCAGAUAGCCCAACCAUCUUUUGUUAUUCUUUCGAACACACACGAACAGUGCAAGUUCAACUUGUCCGCCACGAAAAGUUCGCAAUAACAACGUUGAUUCAAUAAUCAGUCAUGUCACUUUUUUCAUCCCGAUUUCUGGAGCCCUUGUCGACCAGCGGCGCGUGUCAACAACUGCAUGUGCUAUCGCGAUAAAAGCAGCAAUUGGGUGGCAAUUCAGACUAUUAUUGGGACUGUUCUAAAAGUAAUGACGAUUGAAUGCUCUUUACGCAGUGACAGUUAAACACGGUGGUAAUUAAAGUGAUUAAAACAAACUUUCCGAGCGAUUAGCGUUGGAUUUUUCUCCCAGGUUGUUGCCUCCACUUGAAUGUCUGGCUUUCUCACUCUGCUUCGCAAUUCGCAAAGGAAGAAAAAUUGGCCAACCACAGCAGCGGGAAUUCUUAAUGCGCGUAUCGUAGCAAAAUUGGGAGUGUGACAUUCGAUCUCUUCCAAAAAAUCUGGUAUUUCCUCAAAAUUGUAAAAAUAAUAUCGUUUGCUGUAUUAUGAAUACGAUGGAAAUUAAUAAUAUUUUUUUGUGUAGGAUCUCCUCAAAUAAAAAAUUUCUAGACGUAAUUCCUCACACGGAACGGUCUCAUACCUUCCCAUUCCCCUUUCCCCCAACCUAGGGUGGAGUGUGGAAGGCUGCAGAAUGGUGGAGGUAUAUUACACCCUUAGUUUAUGAAUAUUUCAGGAGCAAAAAACAUGGAAAUUCAAUGAUUAUUUAAUCAGUAUAUAUAGUUUUGCAUCAAAGUUGACAAUAUUUGUGUAAUGAGGUACAUUUCUUUUGUGAACUUUGACUUGGGUAGCGAGCGAUGGAAAAAGCUUGUUAGCUAAUAUCGUGAAAGUGAAACAUGAAUCUAAAAAGUAACUUGAAAAUUUUUUAGCUGUUUUAAAUGCCAUUCUCAUUCGUCUUUUUCUGUUUUGUAAACUGUAGUUGGACGCUGCCUCGCAUUCCUUGAAAGCAUUUAUUUCGUUCUGUGUUCCGUCGAUCAUCGGUUGUCAUAGAGGGACGAGGGGCGCAACAUUUGGUGUACAAUUGACCCACGGUGUUUUCUCUGUGUCGAGGAAGUCUUGUGGAAAUUAAGAAUGAAUUAAAAGUCGGUGGCUCAAUUUUCCAAUGUCCGUGCAAACUGUUUUCAAAUUCGGUAGUUUUUCAACCGUUUUAUUAUUAGUUAUUAAGUUAUUAAUUGAUUAUGAAUUUAGUAUUCUUAAUGAAUAAAUGUACGAAUUUAGUUAAGAAUAUCGACAUGAUGCGUUUUGAAAAGCAAAAGGCGAGUGAUCCCGAGGUGGAUAUGUUGGAUAUGUUGUGUAAGAUGUGCGUUUAAUGAGUUACGAUGUAAGUGAUAAGACAUUUGUUAUAGCGUCAUGAGUAUCAAAUAUGCGUUAUAUGAGUUUUAGAAAUCAGUUAUAAAAUACGAUUUAUAAAUUAUUGCUUAUAGGAUGUGUUUUAGGGUAUUAUGGUUUAUAUGAAUUGCGUAAAAGAUAUGAGUUACAGGAAAAGAAUUACGACUUAAUGAAGCUGUUGAAGGCCAGCUUUUCAGUUAGUUUGACUUAAAUUUCUAUUUAUCCGGCUUUUGUACAGGAAAUGUAAUGUGCCUCUAACUUUUCGUCAAGCGACAUGGAAAGUCAACACAAUCACGCUCCUCGAAAGGAGUUUGAUGUUGGAUUAGUUUUUUUUCUUUGGCGGUUCUUUCUCGAAGUUUCUCAAAAUGUUUCACUUGCCUGGGAUCACUUUAAAUUAUUAUUCUUCAUCUGCAUUUCCUCUCAAUUAAAAUGACAUGUCGACACUUGGGCGAUGCUUGGCCGAACAUGUCAUACCUAAUAUUCUCAAUUAGGGUCGUAAGUUGCGUUCUUACCCUAGUUUAUUUCUACCUGUUUUGCAAUAUUAACUGACGAACAAUGGUAAAUUAAUUCUAUUAUUUUAGUAUACUUCCAUUCUUUUCCAUUAGUUAUCAGAAGCUUUUUAUUUCUUUACUUAUGUUAGAUGUUCGUAGCUUUAAUGCCGUAUCAUUUACUUUCAUUUAAAUCAACUUCCUUCGUUUAGUAUCUUUCAUUUGUCUUCUCUCAUUUUCAUUAAAUUGUAAAUUAUUUCCUUUAUUUGUUCUGUGCUUUUACGACCUAACUAAAGUUUUGUUCAUAAUAAAAUUUUGCUGUUAUUUUA